UACGUAGGGGGCUAGCGUUGCUCGGAAUGACUGGGCGUAAAGGGCGCGUAGGCGGAGUGCUUUGUCAGGCGUGAAAUUCCAGGGCUUAACCUUGGGGCUGCGUUUGAGACGGGCAUUCUUGAGUAUGGAAGAGGGUCGUGGAAUUCCCAGUGUAGAGGUGAAAUUCGUAGAUAUUGGGAAGAACACCGGUGGCGAAGGCGGCGACCUGGUCCAUGACUGACGCUGAGGCGCGAAAGCGUGGGGAGCAAACAGG
rnacentral:rRNA from 1 species